CUCCUUUGACGUUAGCGGCGGACGGGUGAGUAACACGUGGGUAACCUACCUAUAAGACUGGGAUAACUUCGGGAAACCGGAGCUAAUACCGGAUAAUAUUUCGAACCGCAUGGUUCGAUAGUGAAAGGUGGUUUUGCUAUCACUUAUAGAUGGACCCGCGCCGUAUUAGCUAGUUGGUAAGGUAACGGCUUACCAAGGCGACGAUACGUAGCCGACCUGAGAGGGUGAUCGGCCACACUGGAACUGAGACACGGUCCAGACUCCUACGGGAGGCAGUAGGC
rnacentral:rRNA from 1 species